AGCAGUCGCCGCGGGAACACAGAGGGUGCGAGCGUUAAUCGGAUUUACUGGGCGUAAAGCGUGCGUAGGCGGCUUUUUAAGUCGGAUGUGAAAUCCCUGAGCUUAACUUAGGAAUUGCAUUCGAUACUGGGAAGCUAGAGUAUGGGAGAGGAUGGUAGAAUUCCAGGUGUAGCGGUGAAAUGCGUAGAGAUCUGGAGGAAUACCGAUGGCGAAGGCAGCCAUCUGGCCUAAUACUGACGCUGAGGUACGAAAGCAUGGGGAGCAAACAGGAUUAGAUACCCCAGUAGUCCCUGUCUCUUAUAC
rnacentral:rRNA from 1 species